rnacentral:rRNA from 1 species
UACGUAGGGUCCGAGCGUUGUCCGGAAUUAUUGGGCGUAAAGGGCUCGUAGGCGGUUCGUCACGUCGGGAGUGAAAACUCAGGGCUUAACCCUGAGCCUGCUUCCGAUACGGGCAGACUAGAGGUAUGCAGGGGAGAACGGAAUUCCUGGUGUAGCGGUGGAAUGCGACAGAUAUCAGGAGGAACACCGGUGGCGAAGGCGGUUCUCUGGGCAUUACCUGACGCUGAGGAGCGAAAGUGUGGGGAGCGAACAGG